UCAGGAUCACUUUUAUUAAUACGUAAUAAUGUACUUAUUUGCAAAAUCAGAAAACUGAUGUCAGAUACAAUUUAAAACAUUUUCUUUCUUGAUUUCUCAAAAGCAAAAUCAUUCUGAAAUUUUGUGAGGCCCUAAGCUGUAGCUUGUUUAGCUUAUGCCUAAAUCCAGCACUGUAUCUAACUAAACACAUAGAUGGUUUCCAAGCAUUGUGAAAAGAAGUGACCCUUCAGGAUUAGGUUGGGGCUUAUGUAAAAUGUUGCCAGAUGCUUGAUAAAUGUUUUUGCUUCAUGGGACAAACCUCUUAUUCUGGAGUGAUUUCUUUUCACAAAAUAAAAACCUUUUAAAAGGCGGUAUGUAAAUAGUGCUUUGCCCCAAUACUUCGGUAAACAUAAAGCAGGAGUGAUUUUUCCUCUCUGAAUCGUACACUGAAAUGUAAAUUUCUGAACAUUUUUUCCUGGCAUUUUACAAUUAGUCGUAGAGGGCAUCUCUAUCUACGCUGAAGUCUGCGUUUGGAAAGCAAUCAUACUUUAAACUAACUCUCAGCAUUUAGAGAUGUCCUGCUGUGUUGGCCUCUCAACUCCCAGUGCUUAUUCCAAAGAUAACUUACAGUUCUAUUGAAAUCCAUAUUUUGGCUUUUCCACAUGCUUUUUAAAGUUUUAAAGGAGAUUGUAACGUAGUUACGCAUUUACUGAAUUGUACCACAAAUGGUAUUGCCUAUUAUGUACUAAUAAUAGCGUGCAUCUUAAAAAGGAAAAAAGGCCCUCUGAGUGUGAGAACAUUCCUUUGCCAUCCAACGGUUAAGUUAAUUACAGCUUUAACAGGAGUAUUGAAUGAUGUACUUGAGACCCUGGCUAGAAAUUGUGUUGAGAAACACUGGUGUAGACAUAAGAACUGGGCCCAGGUUGAAAAUUCCUUCCAUGAGUCUUAGGAAGGCUGUGGCUUUAUGGGGCAUCAUCAUCAAGUAGAAAAGAAAGGAACAUAGGAAGUUGCCUUAAAUCAGAUCCUUGAGCCCACUCAGUUUUCAGGAAUAUUUCACAAAGCACCACUGAGAAAUAUCUGAGACUUUCAGCUAGCAAACCAGGCAGCAAACUCUCUGCUGUUUGUUUUUGUAGGAGGUUACUGGCUGGCUGGCUUUUUUCUGUAUCUCUAGCUUUUAAAAUCUUGAUCGGCUCCCUCUGCCAUCAACUGCCAGCAAGAGGCACAUAUGGCCAUCAGCAGCCUACUUUCCCCUCAAGCUGGCACCAGGCAACUUCUCUCUGAACAUGCAUGUCCUGCUCUAAAUAGAGAUGCAACUCCAACAUGGGAGUUACUGUAAACACAUUGUUGAAAGAGACCCUAUUCAGCUUGUGAAGCUGCUUCAGACAGUCUGUUUUGUCUCUGAAAGAACCGGCUGCAAUAAUAAUAGAAGAAAGGUUGCAAAACCUAGCUCAACUCUUCCUGUAUCCUUGUGGGCACAAGACAAAUGGAACUGCUGCUGUGAGGCUUAGCAGCAAAGCAGAAGCAACAAACUUGUGCAAUGCUUCCACAGCAAAGACCCUUACAUGCCAGAGUUCAGAGGACAUACCAUUGUAGCUUAAGGUUAGAUACAGAUGUACUCAUUGUGCUAGCUUGCUUCUCUACACCAUCUCUCUACUGGGAUUGUGUAAGGCUAUUGUAUUAUCAUCCCUUGCUAGCCAGAAAAAGGCAUGGGAAGGGGGUACAAUAAACCUUAAAUAAGUGUGUUCAAACCUAUUUAAAUAAAUUAUACUGUAUGCUGGAGGCAGACAUCCUAACUGAAUGUGAUCUAGCUGAUUCAGUCAGGUAUCAUCACAGCUGAACAUAAGUGACUUGGCAUGUCAUCCGAACCACAUCCAUCACGGCAAUAUAAAAAUUAGCUGUUAUUCCUUGACAUGCAUUCCAUUAAAGACCUUCAGGUAUCUGAAAUUGAAUCUCACAUUCCCCAGGGAUCUGUUCAUUUCCACCUGAACAAAAUGCACAAGUGGAUUUCUCUUUUUUAUCAGAUUUGGGGGAUCUAGGGGCAUGUUCCAGCAGAAAGUAUUCCUGUGCAUGCCAUACUUUGCACCAGCACUAUGAAGUGAGGCUUGCCAAAUAAUUUUUUCCAGUGAAUUUUGUCCAGGUGCUAGCAUGGUAAUUCUAUUGUGUGCUUUUUAAAAAGAGAAUAUGCUGUGUACAAAAAAAGAUUGUGUGCUGUGUUUCUUAUGUAGUUAAUAUUUUGUGGGGAGGAGGGAAGCAAAAUAAUUUAUAAAAUGUGGGAGAUUCUUUGUGUAUCUUUAUGAAUACAGUUUCUUUUGACAAAAGGACAGAUCCAAUAAAUGUAUUUUUCUCUACCAGUA